CCUACGGGAGGCAGCAGUGGGGAAUCUUGCACAAUGGAGGAAACUCUGAUGCAGCGAUGCCGCGUGAGUGAAGAAGGCCUUUGGGUUGUAAAGCUCUUUCGUCGGGGAAGAAAAUGACUGUACCCGAAUAAGAAGGUCCGGCUAACUUCGUGCCAGCAGCCGCGGUAAUACGAAGGGACCUAGCGUAGUUCGGAAUUACUGGGCUUAAAGAGUUCGUAGGUGGUUGAAAAAGUUGGUGGUGAAAUCCCAGAGCUUAACUCUGGAACUGCCAUCAAAACUUUUCAGCUAGAGUAUGAUAGAGGAAAGCAGAAUUUCUAGUGUAGAGGUGAAAUUCGUAGAUAUUAGAAAGAAUACCAAUUGCGAAGGCAGCUUUCUGGAUCAUUACUGACACUGAGGAACGAAAGCAUGGGUAGCGAAGAGGAUUAGAUACCCUAGUAGUC
rnacentral:rRNA from 1 species